rnacentral:rRNA from 1 species
UGGGGAAUAUUGCACAAUGGGCGCAAGCCUGAUGCAGCCAUGCCGCGUGUAUGAAGAAGGCCUUCGGGUUGUAAAGUACUUUCAGCGGGGAGGAAGGGAGUAAAGUUAAUACCUUUGCUCAUUGACGUUACCCGCAGAAGAAGCACCGGCUAACUCCGUGCCAGCAGCCGCGGUAAUACGGAGGGUGCAAGCGUUAAUCGGAAUUACUGGGCGUAAAGCGCACGCAGGCGGUUUGUUAAGUCAGAUGUGAAAUCCCCGGGUUCAACCUGGGAACUGCAUCUGAUACUGGCAAGCUUGAGUCUCGUAGAGGGGGGUAGAAUUCCAGGUGUAGCGGUGAAAUGCGUAGAGAUCUGGAGGAAUACCGGUGGCGAAGGCGGCCCCCUGGACGAAGACUGACGCUCAGGUGCGAAAGCGUGGGGAGCAAACAG